AUCCUUCCACAAGCUAUGUGCUUGGUCGAGGAAGAUGACCUCUCCCUAUAGAGGAAGACUAUUCUUCAGUCAAGGGUAUGUGAGUAGCUGUCUCCUGCUAGAACCUCCAGACAAGCUCUCAAGGACAAUUUGUAAGAAAAAGAAAAUU
rnacentral:sRNA from 1 species